GACCAUUAUUGCAUAUAGCUGCCAUAGAAACUGAAUGAUCAAAAUCUAGUUCCUGUAGGGUAAACUUUUUUAUUUGUCAAGAUAUCUCCACGAAAUUUGGCAUAGAUUAUUUUCCAAGGUAUGUCAACAAACUCCGUGAAAAUGGUUCAGAUCGAACCACUAUAGCAUAUAGCUGCCAUACAAACUCAACAUUAAAAUCAAGUUCUUGUAUUGAAUCUUUUGUAUUUGUGAAGUCAGAUUUUUCAAAUGAUCUUUUCCGAAUUUUGUUUAACUCAAAUCACAUGACUUUUCAUUAAUUUGUCCAUUCGUUCCUUUAUUCCAACAUUUCAUCCCUUAUUUGCCCAAUCGCUGACCACUGUACGCCUGCAGAGUUGCGACUCCCGUGAACGUUGCCACACGGCGCUGCCAUUGCCCGAGCAAAAGUCGACGCAACAUCUGCCGACCAUAUGCAUAAACGAAUGUGCUUUAUUGCGCUCGCUGCCACAGCGACAUGCAAUACUAUUUACACAAACACUGCGAGUCAACAUGAAGGGCAAUGCAUGUGUGUGUGUGUGAAUUACAUUUCUCCGCUAACCAUAUUUUUUCCAUUUUCAUUUUUACUUCAAUGUGUGGAUUCUUUGUUGUUUUUCGCGUUGAAUUUGGUUUUUAUCAGCAAAAUGGUACGCCGCCCCGCAACGCCGCGCUGCCAACGGCUUCCUAGCGUAGCUCGAGCACAGGCACACACACACCCUCACAUGUACAUAUGCAUACUCAAAUUGACUUUGUAAUGUUUUCCGAUUCCCACUCGGCAAGCAACUGCAAUUGCUAUAGCGUGGAGCUUGUUAAUGCUCUUGGUGUUGUUUUUGUUGUUGUCGUUGUGCACGUAUUGGUGCUCUCCUUUUUUCUUGUCAUACGUUCUAUGACAUUUGUUAUAUUUAUACUUUUAUAUGUUUUUUUUUUGUUUUUGUGUGUUUUUUGCUGUUAAAUUUUCCUCAACGGCUCGAGCCCCGACGUGUUGUCGGCAUAGCGCUCGGUGUUCUUGAAAAAUCUGUUUUCCACUCAGUCCAUUUCAGUUGGUUUUCGCGCACUGUUCGUUUGAUCGCUGAUUUGUAAUUUAAUUUUGUUUUUGUUUUUGUGCGCUGUGUUAAAUAUUCUAAAACCAAUUUCGUGCCGAAAAAAUAGUAAUUAUAUUAAAAAAAGUACGCUAAUCAACAAAACACCCUCUAUAUAUGGAAUUAUGAAAAAAAUUGCCCGCAAAAAGUUUGAAAAGUUUUCAGAGAACAGUAGAGCAAUACAAUUGUCGCGGGCAACUAAGGAACUACGUGUAUAAACUUAUAUAAAUAUAUAUUUAAAAGCAUGCAAGCAUAAACAUUAUACAAUAUUUGGUGAAUUUUUGGUGUUGGUUUUGUAAAAUUAAAGACUGGACUGAAGUGUAUAUUAAAUGAAAAAAAUAUAAUAAUUAACUAACAAAAUAACUGCAGUGACGGCGCUUGAGAAGGUUUAACCCAAUGCAUAAUUAUAGUAAACCCUAUAUGCCAUAAUGCUUGAGUUGUAAUUAUAAAGACUUUAAUCUACCUAUAAAUGACAAAUAAAUGAGUGAAGAUAGAGUAUAGCUUAUGCUUCUGGUGACGGUGCUUUAAAGAGCUAUAAUUAUAAAUUAAAAAAAAAAUUAAAAAAAAAUAAUAAAAAAA